GGAAAGUUAAUAAAUUAAAUGCAUUAUAAUUGUGUUUAGGUCAUCAACUUCCGAGUCUUAAACAUCAUUAUAGGAAUACUAAAUAAUGCUAACCAAAUAGUUUAUAGGUAAUUUGAAAUUUCCCUUGUGCUUGUUAGUUUAGGUCUAUUAUGCCUGCAUGCGAUAGCCCGAGUGCACCUAUUUAGUUUGAAUUAGUUUCUAUACGAUUUAAGAGUAGCAGUAACCAUCGAGCUGACUUGCUGAGUGGAUGGCAUUGCGAUUGCUUUAUUUAGUUGAAGAAAAGAUAACAAAAAUGAAUAUGAUUUUCUUAAAAAUCAAAUUUUAUACAUUUGAUUUUGACGAGUUUCAACAAACUACAAUUAUUUGAAUUUGUCGAAACUGAACUACGGAAAAUUAAUGGUAAAAAGAAGAUAGUAAAUCUAGAAGACGAUGAAAAUGAUACAAAUUAUUAUUAACUAAGAAUACAGCAUUCAAAUCCGUUUCAUAGUCAUCAUUAUCACAGAAUAGUUAUAUUACGGUUACUGCACAUAAUAUAAUAAUGGUAAUAUGAUGAUGAUGAUGAUGAUCAUUAUAUUAUAUAAUAAUAUAUUAUAUUACGAGUAUGUGAUCAGUAGUGUCCAAAGUCACGUACGCUUACAAUAGUAUCGACGCCAUGGAGCAUUUUUUUAAGAGCAGUAUUUUUUCACGGAGACUCAAGAAAUAUUCAAUACCAAGUUUUAUUUGACUAUGUUCUGCCGUAGAAUUUCUGCGAAGUAUAUUAUUGCACACGGUGUGUAUACAUGAUGAUAUGUGUUAUAAAACUGAAAAGUAAAGUAAAACCAAUCAUACCAAUACAAUUUCUGGCACCAGCGCUAAAUGGUAUGUAUCCAAAAUGAAAUUUUUCCUUAUUUUUCUCUUCCAAAAACCUUUCAGG